rnacentral:lncRNA from 1 species
GGAAGGGGUUAAAGGGGAUUCCUGACCCACAAGUUGGGGGGCAGAAGGGGUUAAAGGGGAUUCCUGACCCCCAUGAUGGCAAGGAAGGGGUUAAAGGAGGAUUCCUGACCCACACUUGGGGGGCAGGAAGGGGUUAAAGGGGAUUCCUGACCCAUAAGUUGGGGGGCAGGAAGGGGUUAAAGGGGAUUCCUGACCCCCAUGACGGCAAGGAAGGGGUUAAAGGAGGAUUCCUGACCCACAAGUUGGGGGGCAGAAGGGGUUA